rnacentral:misc_RNA from 1 species
UUGUUCGGAGGGGGGCUUACGUUUUCACACAAACUUUGUAUGCAGUGUAGAAUGUAUUUUUUCGUUUUUGCGAUCACGCAAUCAAUACAACUUUCAACAACGGAUCUCUUGGCUCUCUCAUCUAUGAAGAACGCAUCGAAAUGCUAUACGUAAUGUGAAUUGCAUAAUUCACUGAAUCAUCUAAUCUUUGAACGCACCUUGCGCCCCUUGGCAUUCCGAGGGGCACACCCGCUUUGAGUGUCGUGAAAUUCUCAAAAACCUUUUUCUUUUUGGGAAAGGGUUUUUGGACUUGGAGGCUUUUUGCUGGCUUCACCUUGAAGUGAGCUCAUCCUAAAUGAAUCAGUGGGGUCCGCUUUGCCGAUCCUUGACGUCAUAAGAUGUUUCUACGUCUUUGGGUUUGGCACUGUCACCUGCUUCUAACUGUCUCAUUGACGAUGAUGGUGCUACGG